UCAUGUAAAUACAAGAACAACAACAUAUAACUACAGGAGGAAUACUGCAUUUUGGAGAGAGCUUGCAAUCCAAUCCUCUGGCGACUUUCCAGCUUUCCUGGGCCAAAGGGAAGGGCGCUGAGUUCCUGCAGAGAGAACGGAGGAAAGAGAUCUGCGCGGGGAGAGGCUGAUGGGCAAGGCUUGGUUUCUGAAGCAGCGCUACCCUGACCCCCGGUGGCCACUUGGGGUUACCAUUUACAGUACAAGAACAGUGACAUUGGAAAACUAGAAAACGCCAAAGGAAAGCUGUGUUUCCGAUGAGUCAACGGAGACCGUGUAUUCGUACUACAACUGCAUUUUAAAAGUACAAACUGAAUGACGUCUUCAAAGGAGACAGUGUAUUCGUACGACAACUGCAUUUUAAAAGUACGACGUCUUCAAAGGAGACCGUGUAGGCUACUCGUUCAGAAACCGCAUUUUAAAAGUAAAAACUGAACGAUGACUUCAAAGGAGACCGUACUCGAUGUAAAAGCCGAAGGAUUUCGUCCAGAGGCAGACAGUAUCACUGUAUUGUGCCUCCGUCGUUUUGCCACCCGGAUAUUGUUAGCCCAAAGGUGGAAAGAAUAAAGAAGGAUGGCAGACCAAGUGCAUGGACUAUCCUGAAAUGGUGUAAUUAACUGGGAAGCUCAGAAGUCAAGAUGAAAAAUGUUUUAAAAAGAAUGGGGAAUGUUCAUUAUCUAUUAUAAAAGUAUUGUAAGGAGAUUGAAACAUUGGCAGGGUUUUAAGAACACUUGUCAUUUUAGAGAUUGUACAAAUAACUUAGGAAAAGAAAUUUUGGAGUAGUAAUGAUAUGCAGCUGAAAAGAAAAUGAAUGGAACCCAGGGAGGCUGCGGAAGGAAGUCCAGGCAUUCUGAGAAUCCCAUUUUAAGGAUUUUAUAAUGGUGUGUGUGUGUGUGUGUGUGUGUGUGUGUGUUGCGUAUUGUGUGUAUUGCUUUUAUUUUUGUUACGUUUGUUGAAAAUCAAAGAAAAAUAUAUCAUAAGAAAGAAAAGAAAACAGAAGACCAGCUCUGCAAAAGUCUUUUACCAGGAGAUGCACUCAGGGAAAGGAGGCUGGGACCCCAACUGUGAGUUCCACAUUGCCGAUAUGCUGCCGUUUCCACUAUAGAUGGCCUUGUGCCCAGCUUACGAAGUGACUCAGGCUGCUGUUCUCAACUGUUCUUUUACAAUAAAGCUACUUCUCUGUUAAGCAAUCCUUUUUGGCCUGGCCUCUUCUCUGAAAUAACCACAUCCUGUGUAACCAAAUUGUGAUGUUUUCUCUCUACUUUAAACAUUGCAUGUAACCUUGCGCUGUUCCCCUUUGCCUUGCAGUUUUAAAAAUAAAAACUGAACGACGUCUUCAAAGGAGACAGUGUAUUCGUACGACAACUGCAUUUUAAAAGUACAAUGUCUUCAAAGGAGACCGUGUUGGCUACUUGUUCAGAAACCACAUUUUAAAAGUAAAAACUGAACGAUGACUUCAAAGGAGACCGUACUCGAUGUAAAAGCCGAAGGAUUUCGUCGAGAGGCAGACAGUAUCACUGUAUUGUGCCUCUGUCGUUUUGUCGCCCGGAUAUUGUUAGCCCAAAGAUGGAAAGAAGAAAGAAGAAUGGCAGACCAAGUGAAUGGACUAUCCUGAAAUGGUGUAAUCAACUGGGAAGCUCAGAAGUCAAGAUGACAAGAUAUUUAAAAAAGAAUGGGGAAUGUUCAUUAUGUACUUAUAAAGGUAUUUUAAGCAGAUUGAAACACUGGCAGCAUUUUAAGAACACUUGUAGUUUUAGAGAUUGUACAAAUAACUAAGGAAAAUAGAUUUUGUAGUACUGUAGUAAUGAUAUACAGCUGAAAAAAAAUGGAUGGAACCCACGGAGGCUGUGGAGGGAACAGGCAUUCAGAGAAUCCCAUUUUACGGAUUUGAUAUUGUGGGGUUUUUUUGUGUGUGUGUGUAUAUAUAUUUAUUGCUUUUAUUAGUUUUGUUACGUUUGUUGAAAAUCAAAUAAAAAAUAUAUUAUAAAGAAAAGAAAAAAGACCAGCUCUGCAAAAGUCAUUUGCUGGCAGAUGGACUCAGGGAAAGGAGGCUGGGGCCCCGACUGCGAGUUCCACAUUGCCGAUAUGCUGCCGUUUCCACUAUAGAUGGCCCUGUGGCCAACUGAGGCAGUGACUCGGGCUACUGUUCUCGACUGUUCUUUUGCAAUAAAGCUACU